rnacentral:rRNA from 1 species
CCUACGGGAGGCAGCAGUGAGGAAUAUUGGUCAAUGGGCGUAAGCCUGAACCAGCCAAGCCGCGUGAGGGAUGAAGGUUCUAUGGAUCGUAAACCUCUUUUAUAAGGGAAUAAAGUGUGGGACGUGUCCUGUUUUGUCUGUACCUUAUGAAUAAGGAUCGGCUAACUCCGUGCCAGCAGCCGCGGUAAUACGGAGGAUCCGAGCGUUAUCCGGAUUUAUUGGGUAUAAAGGGUGCGUAGGCGGCCUUUUAAGUCAGCGGUGAAAGUCUGUGGCUCAACCAUAGAAUUGCCGUUGAAACUGGGAGUCUUGAGUAUGGUAGAGGCAGGCGGAAUGCGUGGUGUAGCGGUGAAAUGCUUAGAGAUCACGCAGAACCCUGAUUGCGAAGGCAGCCUGCCAGGCCAUAACUGACGCUGAUGCGCGAAAGCGUGGGGAGCAAACAGGAUUAGAUACCCUUGUAGUC